GACGAACGCUGGCGGCGUGCUUAACACAUGCAAGUCGAGCGGUAAGGCCCUUUCGGGGGUACACGAGCGGCGAACGGGUGAGUAACACGUGGGUGACCUGCCCUCAGCUCUGGGAUAAGCCUGGGAAACUGGGUCUAAUGCCGGGAUAUGACUCCAUGACGCAUGUUGUGGGGUGGAAAGCCUUGUGCGGCUGAGGAUGGGCCCGCGGCCUAUCAGCUUGUUGGG
rnacentral:rRNA from 1 species